GACGUAGGGCGCGAGCGUUGUCCGGAUUUAUUGGGCGUAAAGAGCUCGUAGGCGGCUUGUUGCGUCGACCGUGAAAACCCGGGGCUCAACUUCGGGCUUGCGGUCGAUACGGGCGGGCUAGAGUUCGGUAGGGGAGACUGGAAUUCCUGGUGUAGCGGUGAAAUGCGCAGAUAUCAGGAGGAACACCGGUGGCGAAGGCGGCAUCCUGGACCGGUAUUGACGCUGAGGCGCGAAAGCCAGGGGAGCAAACGGG
rnacentral:rRNA from 1 species